rnacentral:rRNA from 1 species
CCUACGGGCGGCAGCAGUGGGGGAUAUUGCACAAUGGGGGGAACCCUGAUGCAGCGACGCCGCGUGUGGGAAGACGGUCCUCUGGAUUGUAAACCACUGUCGCCAGGGACGAAAAUGACGGAACCGGGGGAGGAAGCUCCGGCUAACUACGUGCCAGCAGCCGCGGUAAGACGUAGGGAGCGAGCGUUGUCCGGAAGUACUGGGUGUAAAGGGAGCGUAGGCGGGGAUGUAAGUUGGGUGUAAAAACUACCGGCUCAACUGGUAGUCGCACUCAAAACUGCAGCUCUUGAGUGAAGUAGAGGCAGGCGGAAUGCGUAGUGUAGCGGUGAAAUGCGUAGAUAUUAGGAGGAACCCCAGUGGCGAAGGCGGCCUGCUGGGCUUUUACUGACGCUGAGGCUCGAAAGUGUGGGGAGCAAACAGGAUUAGAUACCCCAGUAGUC